rnacentral:lncRNA from 1 species
AUUAGCUGAAGGCGUGCGUUGCAGAGAAGCCAUUUGCGUUGUUUGUGUCUUAAUGGCAGCUAGUGAAGGUGAAAACGAAGGAAGAGUAUAGGAAAACAGAGUGGUGUAUGCGUAUGAGCUCUGUGGUGGAGAGCUGAUAUCGAUCAGCAGUUUAUCUUUUUCCUUCUGUUUAUCCAUUUGAAGAGAAAUAAUUAUUUUUUAAAAUUGAUAAAUAAUUAUUUUAUCAUAUAAUAUUUUCUUUAUUUUUUUGAAUGGAGGAUGAAACCCCU